CUACGGGAGGCAGCAGUGAGGAAUUUUGCGCAAUGGGGGAAACCCUGACGCAGCAACGCCGCGUGAGUGAUGAAGGCCUUCGGGUCGUAAAACUCUGUCAAGUGGGAAGAACCUAUGUAAGGUUAAUACCCUUAUGUACUGACGGUACCACUGAAGGAAGCACCGGCUAACUCCGUGCCAGCAGCCGCGGUAAUACGGAGGGUGCAAGCGUUAUUCGGAAUUAUUGGGCGUAAAGGGCGCGCAGGCGGUUUUGUAAGUCAGAUGUGAAGGCCCGGGGCUUAACCUCGGAAGUGCAUUUGAUACUGGAAGACUUGAGUAUGGGAGGGGGAAGUGGAAUUCCUGGUGUAGAGGUGAAAUUCGUAGAUAUCAGGAGGAACACCAGUGGCGAAGGCGACUUCCUGGACCAAUACUGACGCUGAGGCGCGAAGGCGUGGGGAGCAAACAGGAUUAGAUACCCCGGUAGUC
rnacentral:rRNA from 1 species